GAUAUAGAAUAUAAGCAGAUUACAGACUCUUUAAAAUGUAUUUUGUAUUGCAACUUGUACUUUGAAUGAUUAUGCAUUAAUUGGCUUGUGAGUGUUUUACUGUACAGCACAGCUCCUAUUCCAGAACUUUCCUGCUAUUUCCAUUUCCUAUUUUAUUGGCAAUGUCAUUUCUUUAUAACUGAGUGAAGAACUGAGUGACAAGGCUGGGGAAAUUUUUCGUGCCUUUCUCUUUUUGCCCUCUUUCCUACUCUAACCAGAAAUAGUGUCUUGGCAGUGGAUCUCUUUGUCUCUUAAAAAAGAAGGAAAGAAACAGGAAAAGGAAACAGCAGUAGAUGAUCCACUUUCUGAAACAGUGUGAAAAACAUCUGGAGAAUGCUAGCUUUGCACCGAAGCAGCAGCUUCAACUUCUGCUUUUCCAGUUUUUGCAGGGAGUUUCCUGACACUAACGGGGAAAAGAAAUGGUGGCCAGAGACUUUCUCCUAAAAAUAUGCAGGUGGGACAGCACGGAGGCCAAGACACAUCUGUGUGACAAGCUCCGGGCCUGACUCACAACAGGAGCUGAUGAUAUGUAAUCUACACAGAGAGACUGUCACAGAUAAGAUGUCCUGGGAAGCUGACUGUGACGUGGAGAUUAGCACGUUGGAAGUUUACCAGGGAGUGCUCGAAUCAACACCUAUGGAACACAAGGAAGUAGGACUGGGCAUCAGUCAGGCAGUGGAGCUGCCUGGAACAGGCCUGACUGUAACUUCACCUUUAAUAUUCCAAACCAGUGAGUCAAGCCCAAUCUGAGAAUAUUCUAACUAUCUCCAUCGCUACCCUCGGGUUUCUCCAAGAAGUCUUCAAAGUGUAUAUUAACAUCCAGAGGGUCAGUCCUGUUUCAGUCAAUUGCAAUCUUCUCGGAAGACUAGAGACCUUAUAUCUCCUACCAGAAGCUGGUGGCCUCCUAAUGAGCCAUGGUGCUACCACAGCUAAGUGCAGAAAGAACUUUCCAGCGGCCUAUGAAAAACAAGUGUACUCCCUAAGGGAUCAGAAGAUUUUUAUUGGCAAAGAUGGUUCUGCUGAAGGAGUUGGGACUGACUGGCUGACCCACACCUGCCCAAAUUGAUACUCACAAAAGAGAAGCACAGUGGAGGAAGGAAGUGAACAAAAGAGGAGUUUCUAAUUUUCCAUUUAUUGAGAGAUUAACUUUUGAAAUGAGCGUCUGAAGCCCCCAAAAGUGAUUAGAAUCGUUCUAUGUUCUAUCCCAUCUUAAACCUAACAUUAUUUUAUUAGGUUUUUGACAGAUACUUUUUAAUCAGCACAAUCAUGAAUUAGCAUGAUUUUAAGAGUAGUUCCCCUCCACCUCCCCCACCUGUUGGAGGUAGAACCCAGUUUCUUCCUUAAGUUACUAAAUUGAGUUCUUUUGCCCUGUAGAAAAAAUUUAGAGGGCUCUACAAUCAUCUUCUUUGGAAUAAGUAAUUUUGCUGUUUUUAGAUAAUAAUCAUAGAGAGCUUUUAGAAUUUUAAGAAAAUGUAAAAAAUCACCCAGCGCUAGUUUACCCCAUUUUUAGAUGAAGAGUUCAUGAUGUGUGUGUCUGAUGGAAAGUUAAUCAAUCCAGUAAGUAAUACUAAUAUGAAUAAAUAUGUCAUUCUUUCAAGUACAUCAAACAUUAACCUAACUAGGUUUCGUUCACCCUAGAGGUAAAUGAAGUCAUCAAGGACAGUGACACAGGGUUACUUGCGUUUCCCUAAACAAUUACUACUGUUUCAUGCCUCACUACUUUUGAACAUGCUGCCUCUCUUCUGGAAUGUCUUUCCCUCCCUUCCUCUACAGCCUGUCCUCCAAAUUCACCUUCCCAGGAAAUUUUUUCCUGACUUGUGGUUCCUUAUUUGUGUUCUCUUAGCACCUUGCAUCAUAUUUUUCACCCGGUACUGGGAUAAUGAACCAGAGUACACAUUCCUUGUCAGCAACCCUGUCUCAUUCAGCUUUUCAUCCUCCAAGAUGCUCCAAGUAUGACAUCUGACACAGAAAAAGCAAUGAGCACUCAGGAAAUACUGGAUGACUCACAUACCUAGUCCCUGUUUUUUUCCUCAAAGAUGUUUUGCAGAAGUUCUUUUGAUCAGGUUGCAGCCAAAAGAAAUUGAUUUCUAGUUUCUUUGAGCAAAAAUGUUCUCUUUUAGUAAAUUUGCUGAACUUCUACUACUUUGGGAAAGCCACUUUAUUCAGUGGAUAUUGAAGGUCUAUCACAUGCCAGGCACUAUACUAAGCCCAGAGAGUCCUCUUCAAAGAGUUUAUAAUCUAGGGGAGAAGAUAGCAAUAAACAAUACCUCUUACAGGAAAUGUACAUUUCCAGGCAAUAUGAGAUUCACUAUCAGAAUAUGUACAGUGUUUUAGAAAUCAGGGAAGAAGUUGCACCUGAUACUGUCUGAAUGAACUUCAAUUGCUAAAGCUGUUGAAUCAGGGAGGAGGAUGCAGGAGGGCAGACAAUUAAGUAGGUGGUAUUUGACCUGGAUUAUGAAAGAUGAGUAGGAGACUGAUGUGUACUUUGGAGACUGUUAAAGAGUAGAACCAGACUGCAGUUAAAGUGGUAAAAACAUUUUAUUCAGGAACUAUUGCAAUAAGGGAAAAGAGACCUCAGAUACAUAACUGAGCUCAAAGUUUCUGAAUAAAAUGUCUUUACUGCUUUAACGAGGGCCUGGCUCUGGUUUUAAGCGUGGGAGGUAGUGAUUCAGGACAUUUCAGAUAGAGGCAAAAGAGUGAACGAAGCAAAAGGGAGUAAGGCAACUUGAGGGAAAAAAGAUGUGAUCCAAAGGAAGUUAAGUAGCCAAGGAAAACAGGCAUUCUCUGUAGCCAGAACCUAGAGUAGUGUUGGGGAUGGCAGGAAAUGAGGAAAAGUAGCUUUUUAGUAAUUCAGGGAGUUGUUUGCUGAUAUUUAGAAAACGAAAUGUUUUUGUUUAUUCAUGGGAGCUCAAAUGGGAAAGGUAAAUCUGAACAAGAUUGCUUGGAAUGCUAUGCCAAGAAAUUUGGACUUGAUGCCGUAAAGCCAACUGGAGUUAAGAGAGCCGUACAGUAUUUUAUAAAGAUGGUAUACGAUUAUAGAAGCUUAGAGGUUAAAAAAAAAAGAUGGUUGUAGUCUCAACAGGUGACAGGCUGCAGCGGCACGAAGCUGUCCCUCUCCCGACUUCGGUUUACUCCCUUAUAAUAAGACACAGGUUAGGUCAGAGGUCCUCUUAGGUCCCUUCCAACCCUGACAGCCUGCUUCCGAGGUACCGCUGCCUUCCUUCCAUUAUCUGGCGCCUGCACCUCAUCUCCUCCUUCCUUAUCUAGGUCCAUUUGCCUCCUUCCCUAGCCCCUGGCCGUCCUCACGUGCCUUCAAUCCCGAGGUGGGGCUCGGGGAGAGAGACACCUCUCCAGGUAAAACAAACAGGUGUCCUCUCCAUGGCCCUUGGUCCCAGGCAGCACCACCUGGGGGGUCUCAGGGCCAGAAGCGCCCUAGAGUUGGCAGGGAGCCGGGGUUCCCAGUCGCUUUUCCGCCCUGGGUCCCUUGGGGUGGGAGGCCGGCCCUCUCCACAGCCGAGCCAUCUCCGGGAGGGGGGCAGGAGCCCGCCCCUCGCUCCUCCCUGCUUUCUCCAGAGACAAAGGCCUGUGAGACCGGGCAGCAGCCAUUAGGCUUUGCCGCGACCCUCGGGUGGCAGGGCUUCGGACGGCCAUUUGGCUCCUAGAGAAGUCCCGGUGUCCAGGGAGCAAAGAGUAGGACUUCUUCCGGCCGGCCGGCCGC